UCGGUAGGGACCCCUAGAGGUUGAGAGAGGGAGACAGAUUCAGAGCGCGGGGUCCGAUAGCGCGCGAGUGUGUGAGUGUGUGCGUGAGUGAGGAUAGUGGAGAAGAUACUCUUCAACUAGCCGAAACAACUGAAAAAAUACGAGUCUCGUACGUCGAGCCGAAAAAUACAAAGGCAGCUCGUAAAACCUAUGAUAAAAACUUGAAAAAAAUGAUUGGGACAGGUUAUAUCAAGUCGAGGAGAAAACAAAGCCUGUUAAGGACAAUUAAUUCUUAAAUUCUUGAAUCAAUUGAAUUUGUUUUUCCCGUUCAAUUGUUUGGCUUCUUGAGAUUAUGCCCUUUGUGGCGAGGUACAGACUCCAUCUUCAUCCAUCGAGACAUCAAAUACUCGCAUGUUAACACUUGUUCCGAUCCGUGUCAAAACUCCAAAAAUGUCAGGCCUAUUUAACAUGGCUCAGGGUAAACUGAGUCGAUUUUUCAACUACAAGAACCCGUCUUCAUCCGCCAGCUCAUCCUCUUCGCGGUUGCGGACUGUCAGGGCCAAAUCCGGAUCACUCAGCUACAUCUCGUCAAAAUAUGAGAGUUUGGAUUAUGACACAUGCGAAAAUCAACUUCUGGUGGACGAAGAGAGGACCAGGGGCUACACAUACGUUGUGCAGACGGAUGUCGCCCGGUGGUUCCUUUUCUUUCUCAUUGGCAUAUUCACCGCCGGCCUAGGGGUUUUCACAGACGUCUCCAUCGCAUAUUUGGCCGACAUUAAGUACAAAGUUCUUAAGUAUUAUAUGGACAAAUGUCUUUUGGAGCAAUGUGUUUACCUGACAUAUGGAAUGUGGCUUACUUUAGUUUUAGUACCAGUUCUUGUUGCUUCAAUUCUCGUUGUCUAUAUUGAGCCUGCGGCCUCAGGUAGUGGAGUUCCAGCUGUCAUCGGGUACCUGAAUGGUGUCAAAAUGCCUCAUGUGGUAGAAGUGAAAGUGCUCAUCGUUCGUAUGCUAAGUACAAUAGCUACAUGUGUAGGAGGUCUCGCUGGAGGAAAGGAAGGGCCCAUGAUCCAUUCAGGUGCUAUAGUUGGAGGCUCACUAGCCACUUUGUGGCUGCCAGGUCUAGGCUCUCACUCCGUCCUCCAUUACUUUAGGCAGGACCACGAGAAGCGUGACUUUGUCGCAGGUGGUUCAGCUGCCGGUGUUGCAGCAGCCUUCGGUGCUCCUGUUGGUGGAGUGUUACUCAGUUUAGAAGAAGGAACGAGUUUCUGGAGCCUUUCACUAAUAUGGAAGAUUUUCCUUUCUUCCAUGGUCGCCACAUUUACACUCAAUUUGUCUUUAAGUGCUGUUGAAGGACACCCUGGUCAGCUUACCCAUCCUGGUCUUUUGUUCUUCGGCAAGUUGAAUGACACAAUCACAAAAUAUGAAGUGUUUGAGCUUCCUAUUUUCAUUCUGAUGGGUGUCAUAGGAGGUCUCCUGGGAGCCGUGUUUGUGGCAAUCAACAUGAGACUCAUGGUCUUCAGAAUGAAGCACAUCAAGAAGAAAUGGGUCAAAUUGCUUGAAGCUCUCACUGUAGGCUUUCUCACAGCAACAUGUGGGAUGGUUUCAAUCUAUUCACUUGACUACUGCCGUGACUACACAGAAGCUAGCCCUAAAUUUGCUGUUCAAAUGUUUUGCACUGGAAGCAAACACAAUGAACUAAGUGCAUUUUGGUUUCAAAAAUCUGAAGAUACACUCAGAUCUUUAUUUCAUGAUCCCAAAGGUUCAUACAGUGUAGUGCCUCUAGUCGUAUUUUUCCUAAUGUACUUCUGUAUGUCCAUAAUGACAACUGGUCUAAGUGUCAGUGCUGGAGUAUUCGUUCCAGCACUAUUAUCAGGGGCAGCUUGGGGCCGCCUCAUAGGUAUAGGAAUACAACACGUAUUUCCUGAAGCGGCUUGGGCUGAGCCGGCAAAAUAUGCUGUGAUAGGAGCUGCGGCUCACCUUGGGGGUAUAUGUAGAAUAUCAAUAUCACUCACAGUGAUGAUGAUAGAGGCAACAGGAAAUAUAACGUUUGGCCUUCCCCUCAUGCUCACACUCAUCACUACCAAAUGGAUCGGUGAUUUUUUUACAGAGGGGGUGUACGAGAUGCAGAUAUACCUGAACGGAGUGCCUCUCCUACCUUCUGCACCGCCUCCUCUCUCGUCGGACAUCAAGGCAACAGAUGUGAUGUCAGCCCCGCCUGUUGUUUUUCCAUCAAAGGUCAAAGUGGCGAGGAUUAUAGACACUUUGGACAAUGUGCCUCACAAUGGUUUCCCUAUUGUAGACCCAACAACUGCCACUAAUCAUGGAGUUCUCAAAUCAGCUGGGAGGCUGAAAGGUCUCAUACUGAAGUCACAACUCCUUAUUCUCCUCCAUAGUAAGUCUUUCAAUGAAGUUGUCCCAAGUACCUCUGAGCAGCUUCGAAAAAAACUCCAUAUGUUUAGAGAAGCUUAUGCAAAAUAUCAAAAAAUACAGCUACGUUCUGGCUGGAUCGAGGAUGUGCAAAUAACUGAAGAAGAUUAUGAACAGACAUUGGAUCUCAGGCCCUAUAUGAAUCCAUCGCCUUAUACAGUUAAAUUGGAUGCUUCCUUACCUCGAAUAUUCAGGUUGUUCAGAGGCCUUGGCCUUCGGCAUAUAAUCGUCGUAAAUGAUGUGAAUGAAGUUGUUGGUAUGGUGACAAGAAAAGAUCUAGCCAGGUAUAGAACUUGGAGACAUGCUGGAACAAUGGGGUUAAAAGAGUUAAGAGUGCAAGUAUGACAAGAAAUCAUGUACUUGUGAGUUCACAAGUACAUGGCCUCAUCAACUUAAUCAGCAAUCAAGGAGAGUCAGUUAAUGGCAGUAGGAAAAUGGGCAGUAAAAUAAAAUUAAACCAAAAGGAGAAUGCUGUGGUGGGUGAGGGGACAAGCACAGGGCUCGAAGAGCAGCUUGAAGAAACAAUUUAAAUUGUUCCCAUCGCAGCAUUCAACAAAGUAGUUUAACUCGAAAAAUAAUUAAAUAAUGGAAUGAAUUCAGAAACAAAAGAAUCUAAAAUUUGAAGUGCACAAAUUUCAAUAUCUCUCUCACUUUUGCUUUCUCUCUAUCUCUUCUUGCACGCCUCUCUUUGCUCCCUCUUUUUCUAGAUGUUUUAAUCGUACUGUCUCACUCAUACUUACUCAAAAACUCUUUAUCUUUCAAUUGUGGGUAUACAUAAGUAUUUUUUCUGUACCAAUAAAUAUAAAACUCCUAUCCUAAUGAUAUGUUUAAAAGAGAAAAAGAGAGUGAGAGAGAGAGAGAGCUAGAGUGACAGAGGAAACGAAAUUAUUUUUGGAGAAUUUAACUGGCCCUCGGCUUGCAGAUUAACUUCUAUUUCAUUUCUUACUCUGUGUUUUUCACCUUAUUAUGGAUUCACUAGGAAAAGGAAGGUGAAUAUACAGAAAAAAAUUUUGAUGACAAAUUGGAGGAUGUUUUUACACACAAGUGCACAUUGAAAUUUUCAGCUAACAAAUAUUUCAGUAAGAAGAACCGACAAUAAUAAUAAUAAUACAAUUUUAAGAAUGAUCUGCAUAAGCAGAGUCAGGUCUCUUAUAUGUGCUAAGGCCUGUUAAAAUCAAAUUGUAAGUAAAUAGUAUUUGUUUUAAGUCGAAAAAAAUAGCCGGGGCUCAAGUUUUGUGCCAUGUUUUCUAACCAGGCUUUUAACGGGGAGAUUUUGGGGGGUGGGGGGUUCUCUACAUGUUGUGAUUAGGUAAAUAAAACUAAUUAUAAAUUAAAUUCAAAUUCUCUUCCCUGGGGGAACGAUACCGAACCCUCAGCAGUUGGAAGACGAUUUGCAAAAAUAAUGUAAAAAAAAUAUUCUGUCUUGCCUUACUGUUUGACAAAAAUUAGUUAUGAAAGAACCUAGUUUUUAAAUAAAAGUUUUAAAAUAGAAUCCAAAAAAGUUUGAAUGAAGAUUUUCUUGUUAAGUAGUGAAAUUUUCUUACGUAUCGUUAGCAGGCAGUAUAUUGCAGGGAGGGAUAGAGGUUCACUUGCAAAACUACUGGAUUGUAAAUGAGGUUGAAAAAAACUUUACAAUUAACUUUAAAACCUUAAAAAUAAUAUAUCAAGCACUUUCAGGUUUCCAUUAAAGUAACAACUAAUAAUUUACAUUUAGUGAUAAUUAUUUGUUGAUUCCAUUCGUUUUAUAUACAAAAGCUGUGUUAAACUUUUUAGUAUUUGAUCUAAUUAAUUAAGUGAGGAAAACUGGAUUAUUUAUUUUUAUAAAUUUGCUUAAUCACUCAAAAUAUAAUAAUACAGAUAUCUUAGUUUUUUGAACAGAACUGAGGGUCAAAUAAAAAAAAUGUGGAACAUUUUUCAGCCUCAGUUACCAAAUGUAGUGAUGAAAAUAUUGGAUGAAUAAAUUACUUAUGUAAUAUUCCCUUUAUGCAAUAAGAAAACCGAAAUAAUAAACCUGUAGAAUAUUUUAAAGAAAUAUCUAGAAUGUAUUUUUUCUGUGCUAAAAAAGGUUCAUUUUUUAUUCACUGUUAACUUUAAAAACAAUAUUUAUAAGGGAAAAGAGAGAAAAAAUUAUUAUAUACAUUAAAAUAUAUUGAAUUUGCAAUAUGAACUGAAGGCAAUAUUCUUAGUGUGUAGCCUUUUUAGCCUUAGUACUGAGCAUUAGUUGAUUUAUGUUUCCUAUGGAAAUUACACUGUACACCUUGAUGCUCAUUCAGGUUUUAAUUAAUUAUUUGCCAAUGUUAAUGUGUCAAAUGGUAUAUAUAGUAAUUGUUUUAAGUGUUGAACAUGCACAAAAUUUUAAAAUAUGAAAUGGAAAGGAGGCCAAAGAUUUUUUAAAAAUAUUAUUAUAUGUGUUGUUAGUUUUUAGAGAAGUUUCUUAGGAGACUGACUUAUGGGCAUGUCCAUGUUGUGUUACUCUGAAAAACAAAGUCAAUGAUAUAUAUUUUUUCUUAAUUAUAAAGAAUGAAAACAGAAAUAAGAAAGCAUAACUUGCCCCUCAGCCAGGAGCUGUAAAACAUAGUUUUAUUAAUGUAUUAUGUAUUGGCAGGACCAGUACUUAAAAAUCUUUUAAUGUUCUUAUACUUAAGUUCGAUCCCCAACUAGACAAGCAUCUCACAUUUGCUAAUUAUUUUAUUUAUUAAUCUAUAUAUAGAAUUAAUUUAUAUAUUGUAGGGCCUUUUCAGGAUUGAAUCGGAUAAAGAAAACGUAGACUUUUCGUUUUCAAACACACGCUCUUUAUUCUCUAUAUACAUAAGCACUUAUAACCAAUAACCUUCUUAGAAGUGACCAACAGAUUUAAGUACGUCACUGUCUGACGUCACCUUGGCGCAACUUUCAAAUUUAUUCUCCUACAAUAUAAAAGUUUAUCCAGUAAUUUUCUUGCCAUAAAAGUUAAUUUGAACUUUUUUUCUUUAUCCACAAAUUAAUUGUGAAAUAUUAACAAUAUCGUUUUCUCACAUAAUACUUCUGUUGACUAUAACCUAGCGAUUAAUUCAAAUUUAUUUGUGUUACAAUUAAAUUUAUUUUAUAUUAUUUCAUUUUUAACUUUAUUUUUAGUUAAUCAAUAUAUAUUUUUCAAGUGAUUCUUGAAUAUUGAUCCAUAUCAAAAAAUACCUUCACCUUAAAUUCCAUUCCUCUUCCAUUCCAAAUACCCCAGCUAUAAGAACAUUGAAAGUCACUAUAGGAACUACUAAUAAUUUAUAUGAAUUGUUAAAGUUGUAUGAAUUUCUUGAGAUACAAAAUGUACCAAUGAUUUGUUAUUUUGUUAGAUAUGUAGAAAAAUGUUAUGAUUUUGUUGUUAUAUCAAAACAAAAUUGGCUCUCAACUUCUAGAAAAAUUUAUAAUCAGUUUUAUAAUUAUUAUUUCAGCCAACAGUAGAACAAAAGUACCGCAAGUGGUAUUAUUAGUUAUAUUUUAAAAUCUUCUUGUGCAAGUGAAUUCAGAGAAAGAUAAGGAAAGUAACAAAGAAGUUUAAAAAAGAAUAAAUAAAAAUGUCAAAAGUUAGUGAUUUAUUUUCUUGAAUGGAUGGAACCUUUCCACCCCAUAUAGUGAUUUAGAGAAUUAUGUGAUAUAUGUGAAAUUACAUCUUAAGUUUGUAAUAAUUAGAAAAUUUUAAAUUAAAAAAAAAAGAAAAUUAACAAAAAAUAUAUACAUGAAAAAAGCAAACAUUUUUAUAGAUUAUAUUUAAUGUUGAAAGUUAGAUAUGGAUAGGCAUGUGUGAUAUCAGAAAACUACUUAGAUAGCUACUAUGGUCUUUAUGUGUAAACAUUGUUUAAGAAUUAAACUGGAAACAUAAUUAUAAGAAAUUGUUCUUUUAUGUUUUUGUUUUGUUUUUAAAUUUUAAAAAACCUGUUAUUAAAUUAUUAAAUCUGCUAGAUGGUAUUUGGAUUUAGGAUACUUUUGUUUUAAAAGAGGUAAUUUGUGGUAUCUAAAGUAAACACUGCCAGCCCUUCGAAACAACCCGGCUUAUAAGAUUACAACAAAAAAUAUAUACAUAUAUGUAUAUGUAACUGUGAUAUUUGAAUAUUCACUAACAACAUAUUAUCUAUACAGCUUAGUGCUGAAUUGGCAAUAUUUUAAGCAGAUUUAUUUGAUCGUGUAACAUUAGAACCGCAAGUGUUUCAGAAGUAUGGUCAAUUAAAAAUAUUGUUGUCCUAAAUAGUUAAUACAGUACUUAGUUGAGUAAAAUGCUUAGCUUAUCCUUAAAUCAGUAGCCAGAAUAUUAUUGUCUUUUAACAAUUAUUCUCAAUCUUUUAAAGACUAUUUAAUGAUAAAAUAAUAACUAAAAAAACACAUCUUUAACUGAAUAGCAUGUUUAAAAAGUGCAAGAGAAUUAUAGUAAUUUUCUGUAUUGACUUAUUAGUAGUAACAAUGAUGAACUUGCAAAUUUUUUCACCUGUCACCGGUUUGAUUCGAAGCUGCAGUGAAAUGAUAAAUGCAAUUUUUGUUCGACUAAUUACACUUCACAAACAGUACUGUCAAUCUUGAAACAAACGAAAUAUUAUUGUUUUAUUUCAAUUGCAAAUUUUACCUCACUCGUAUUGUUCAGACCGACAAACAAAUGAGCAAAAUUAUGAAAGAUUGGAAAUCCAUAGUUACCUCUAGAGAUCAUGCAUUAUCAAAAAUGUCAAUUUGAUUUUUUUGAGAAAAAACACUUACAUGUCAAUUAAUUUCUUUUUAAUGUCGUUAAUUUUUAACACACUAUCUUUCUCUUUCCCUAUAUAUAUCUUGUAGAAUGUAUGUUAAGAUUUAAAAGGGGAAAGUUACAUACAUGAAGUGUUGAAUUAAAUGUUAAUUGUUAAACUGAAGAAUAGUUGACUGUCAAGAAAACGUUGGAAAUAUUUAAAAAAGUCGAAUUGCAGUAACUGAAAGCAAAGUGGAAAACAAAAAUUCAAAUAGGCCUA
rnacentral:misc_RNA from 1 species